GAUGAACGCUGGCGGUAUGCUUAAUACAUGCAAGUCGAGCGGUAAGGUUCUGCACUUUUUAUUUAAUCGCGCCUGGUCGUAUAGGAGCAAUCUUAUACAUCAUUACCAAAGACAGAGACAGUGGCUACAUUGUUAUCUCUAAGGCAAGUGAGUUGACCAGCGGAAAUCCUAAGCAGGCUAGCGAAGGAACAGAUUGAAUACGGAGUGUAGAAACACGAGCGGCGGACGGGUGAGUAACG
rnacentral:rRNA from 1 species